CACAAUUCCCAAAUCCUUGCACUAGGUGGGGCCAGCCUCCUGUUGUGUAGACUCAUCAACUAUACCAGUCCUCUGUUCCUGGUCUCUGGAGCUUCAAUUUGGGAAAGUGACCCAUUAGCUUCUGAGGACCAGGGUGAGAGAGGGCAAACUUGAAUGCCCUUCACAAUGGAGAGAUGUGUGCAGACCGGACAGACAUCAGUUCCUUUAUCAGUGCACAGGUAGCUGCAAUAUGCUUCCUGGAAUCCUCUCUCAAAUAAACUGCUUGCCUCCAAAUCCUUGUCUCAGGCCUGCAUGUGGAGAGAUAAAACCCAGACAAAGAGGCAGACAUGAGCAGAUGAGCUCCCCCGAACAGGAGACAAGUGGGCUGAGAGGUGAAGGAAGAGGAUGAGGAUACCUCUGCCUCCGAGAAAAUGAGACUGGGUUGUCCUGCUGAAGGAAAAGAGUCACAUGACUAUUGCUCAGAUAACAUCAAGCUAACCACCAGGCAUGUGAGUGAGACUGUCUAAGAUAACCCAGUUUCAGCUGAGCUGAUCCAGAGCAGAAAAGCUGUCCAGGAACCAAGGAACCUGACAGAUAAGUAAUUUUUCUUACUUUAAAUCUUUAUAUUUGAAUUGGUCUCUUAUCCAGCAAAAACUGCCUGAUAUGACACCUUCACAACUCCUUUAUAUAUUCCAACUUAAUUGUAGCCUCCUUGAGCACAGAACCACUUUGACUGACAUCUUCUGAAGCUCCUUCAGGACUCAGAUUCUGCCUCACUCAUUUAAGGAGCAGAGGACAUGUUUGUUGAUUGACAAUCUUGUCCAAAGUUUCUGCUAUGCUUCAAGGAUCAGUUAGUAAUUUAAUUCCUUUAGAGGCUGGUUUAGGUCCCCAAGCACCAGCUAAAAACAAACCUGCAACAUCGAAUCUUGAAAAAAAGCCAACAGAUCAUAAGCUUUGAAAUCAACUGUAGGAUCUAUGGAGGAACAUUUUGCUAGGGCUUCAAAGACCAUAGGCAUUAAUAUAAACUCACUCUCAGACUCAGAUCCUCUCUCUGAUUUCUCCUUCAGUUCCUGCAGAGAAUUUGAGUCAAAGGGAAUGGAAGAGUCAGCUAGUUCAAAUGAAUUGAGGUGGGGAUGAUUAGAAAUUGAAACUCAGCUGACAAAAUUGGGAAGUAAAGUUUCUCUGAAAGUAUUAUUUUCAUAAUUAUAAGGAAUUUGCAUAUAUAUAUAAAUUACUUUCUGUCAUUUAAAAAUGCUUCCACAAAAAUAUACAUAAGAGUUUCACCUCAAGGUUGAAAAUGAGAAAGUUGGAGUAUAUGAUGAGUAAGAGCUUAUAAAUAUAUAAUCCUGUAUAGAGUUCUGACAUCCUAGAUGCUGUCCACCUGUCCCUAACAAAAGCCAUGGAUUUCUACAGGGUCAUGUAAAGUAAAAGGUUAUUUUGAACAUUCUAAAUUAGUUUCUGGGAAAGGAGGGCAGGAUUUCUCUCUUGUGCCCUUUGGUUCUCCACAAUGUAGUUAUUAAGACAAGUACUAGACACUGUGAUGAAGUUUAUUUCUCACUCAUGUAAAGUCCAAAAUGAGCCAUUAAGAUAGGUGGUGGAGGGUGGGGUUGGGUACAGAAAGUACACUCCACACAGUGGCAUAGUCAUCUUCAGCAUGUAAAUUCUAUGGCCACACUGAGUGCCAAUCCAAUCAACAGAGGAAGACAGAAAGGGUGAUGCAUCAGAGAGUUUUAUGCAGCGGGCCUAGAAAGUAGUGUACAUCCCUGUGCCCACAUUUAAUUGGUGGAACUCAGUCACAUUAUCACAUCUAACUGCAAGGGAGGCUAAAAAUGUGGUCAGCCUUCCACAGAUUGUCACCAAUAAAUGAUUUCCCCCCAUAAUAAGAGCAUCACAUGGAUCAUGUCACAUCCAGACUUGGGGAUUCAGUGACAUCCAGCUAAUACAGAGUUUUGGUAGGAGGUGUGAUUGCAUGCCAAAGUCAUUCCCCAUGUAAAACCAAUAAACAAAUUCAUUCAAAAACACUAGUUUAUAAUAUAUUAUACUCCUGGGACAAUGCUAAGAUCUACAAGUUAUAAAAGAAAAAUACACCAUAAUGUCUCCCCAUUGGGAGCUUAUAGUUAAAUUGAACACAUUUGACAUAUUCACUGAAAGAUUUGUAAAUAAUGCAGCAUUGAUUUCUAAGUAUGUUUCUCUGUCAUAGAUAAGUGCAUAUUUAUACAUUUUUCUAACAUAUUUUUCCAGAACAUAAGACAGUACAAAGAGUUUAGAGAUAGAACAGAUCCUGCUAUUGUUUGAAUGUCCCUUCCAAAACUCACAUUGAGAUUUUAUUGCCAUUGUGACCAUAUUAAGAAGUGGGACCUUUAAAAGGUGAUUAAUACUGUUAUUAUGGGAGUGAGUUAGUUAUCGUAGGAGUGGGCUCCUGAUAAGAGGAUACAUUUGGCCCCCAUUUUCUCUCUGUCUUGCACACUUCCUUGCCAUGCACAGCCUUCUGCAGUGGCAAGACCCUGACCAGAUGCUGAUGCCAUGCUCUUGGACUUUCCAGCCUCCAGAACCAUGAGCCAAAUAAACUCCUGUUUUUUGUAAGUUAGUCUGUGGUAUUCUGUUAUAGUAGCAGAAAAUAGAUGAAGAAAUCAAAUGG
rnacentral:lncRNA from 1 species